AUAAUGUUUAGCAGUGGUCCCGGCUCCCCUGAGUCAGGGCCAGGAGUCUCUGGUGAUAAGCAAAUGGUCAGAUUGCUUCACUGAAAGACUAGACUUGAGAAGUAAGUGUGAAUGAGGGAGGUUCUGUCAGACUUGAGAUCUGAACUCCUCCCAUCUGCAAUAGCCUGGUGGAGCAUAAGGAAUUUUUGUUUUAAUUGAUGUGAAUGGAAUCUACCCACGGACUUGCUCUCCAGGCUUGCAUUUUUUUCCCACAAAGGCAGUAGUUACUAAGUGUCCAAAGGCAGUAGUUACUAACUAUCCAUUCUCCAGCAUCAUGCUAAGCAGCGGGGAAUCUAGCAAUGGGGAGAAAGCCCAGGUUCUGCCUGUGUGGACUUCACAGAGUGGAAUCUAUGGAGAAGCCAGAUGGAGGCAUGGAUGUUGGAUGCUGCGGAAGCCAGUGAGGAAGGAGCUGAGCCUACAGAUUCUGCAAAAGCAGCUGCAGGAUGUCGUGCUUCUUCCAGAAAGUGUUUGUACAGCACCCACAAUGUCACAGACAUGGCUCUGCAUGUGGAAACCAAACAGAGCCAUGGCAAAGCUCCAGGUAUGUGGAACCACAGCCCACUGGGAAGUUACUGCAAGCAACACCAGAGUCAUUACAAGAGGGGCAUCAGAGGUAAAGGUGUGGGUUACAGAAAUACAACAAGGUUGAAGAACGCUGCUCUUCCUGGCUGCUGGACCAGACCAAGAAGUAUUCAGAAUUUGGGCAGAGUGCUGACGGUUGAGAGGAAGUAUGUCUGAUCUGGGUUCUAUCAACUCAUACAAGGUCAUCUCCUCCCCAUGAUUUUGGGUGGCCAGGUUGUACUGGGGGCUGGGGCAGGUGGGGUCUGAGAACAAUCUCUCUGAUUCACGAAGAUUCAUGACCUUGGAUGUUUGACAUUGGAUAUGCCCCACCCUUUUCAUGUCCAGCUGUCCACAGUUAAUAUGCCCACACCCCAUUCUCAUAAAAAGCCUGACAGAAACGAAGAUAUUCCAACGAGACACUUGUGUCCCUCAAUCUAUCAGGCUAGUGACACAGCGGACCCCAAGACAUGGGAAUGUCUUCAAGAUUUCAAGCCGGGAGGAGGAAAGACUUCAGUUAGGUGAGACCUUGGCUCCUGCAAAGAAACCUCACACUCUUCAAACACUUAACAGAACACCAGCACGAGGUGGACUUCCAAACAAUGAUGGGUCUGUCCUGGGCAGGACUUCGUCUUCAUCAGCGUUGCGCAGAUGUGCAUAAGCCUGGUUCUCUCUUCAAUCUCUCUUCAGUUCCCCAAAGAUGGACUUACGGAGCUCACAGGACCUUUUCUUUGUUCCUCUUCCUAAUGUGAUCACAUUGAAUAAAUCUCCUCUUCCUGCCUUUUACUA